AUGGAAAGAAGAACCAUGCAGCAAGUCCUUAAGCAGCACCUACAUCGAGCUCGCCACAUCAUGAAGGUGCAAGUAGAUAAGAAACGCACUGACCGAUCAUUUCAACCUGGCGACGAGGUUUACAUCAAGCUCCAGCCGUAUGUACAGUCUUCAGUCCACCGCAGAGCCAACCACAAGUUGUCGUUUAAAUACUUUGGACCAUUCCAAGUAUUGCGAGCCAUCAACCCGAUCGCUUAUGAGCUCGCACUACCACCGCAAGUUCACCCCGUUUGUCAUGUCUCUCAGCUACGACAAGCUCUGUCUCCAGGUACAACAGCUUCUUCGUCUCUGCCAGUGCCGCCUAAGGCUGAUCUCAUUCCGGUGGAGAUCUUGCAAACAAGAUGGCGCCGAGAGCAGGUCCUGGUACGGUUGGUCAGACUCCGAGGAGGUGGACGCUACUUGGGAGGAUGCCAUUGCCUUACAGUCUCGUUUCCCUCAUCUGCCGGAUUGGAGGCAAGCCGCAAGUCAAGGAGAAGGGGAUGUCAGCGUCCAAUAUGCAGAGGGCGAGACGGGCAGCGAAACAGCUGCCAUGGCAAUGAAAGGCAAAGGCACUGCCAUGGCAGCCGAUCGGGCCACACUGGCAGACAAGUGGACGAAUCAAGGCCAAGGACGCGUCAUCGCCAGGCCAACAAGGAUUCGCCACACCAACUGCAGGUUCGUGGGCCCGGACUGGGACAACACUACUUAAGCGCAGAAUAUCGGAGGAGGGGCAUCCCGGCUUGGAUCACGGCAGCGGCAACGGCACGAGCACUUACUUUCUUCUUCCUUUUUCUUUCGGCAAGUUGUAUCCAGAGAGUGAAUCACUGCCCUCUUGUGGCUGUAAUCGAAUUGUAA
rnacentral:rRNA from 1 species